rnacentral:rRNA from 1 species
GGAAGUAAAUAAGAGUGCAUGGUGGAUGCCUAGGUUUCCACAGGCGAUGAAGGACGUGGCGGGCUGCGAAAAGCUUCGGGGAGGUGUCGAGCGACCGAUGAUCCGGAGGUGUCCGAAUGGGGCAACCUGUUAUGCAGAAAUGCAUAACAUCAUAGUGAUAACUAUGAAGCGAACCCGGUGAACUGAACCAUCUAAGUAACCGGAGGAAAAGAAAACAACAGUGAUUACCUGAGUAGUGGCGAGCGAAAAGGUAGUAGCCCAAACCAUAUAAGUGAGAGCUUAUAUGGGGUAAUAGGACGCACUAUAUCCUGAAGGAGAGUCUAUAAUAUAAAUAUAGUGGAACUAACUGGAAAGUUAGACUAAAGAGGGUGAAAGUCCCGUACACGAAAUAUUAAUAUUAUAGAUGAGUGUGAUCCUGAGUACUGCGAGGCACGAGGAAUCUUGCAGGAAAUAGCCAGGACCAUCUGGCAAGGCUAAAUACUCGUGGAAGACCGAUAGUGAACAAGUACCGUGAGGGGAAGGUGAAAAGCAUCGUGAGCAACGAGGUGAAAUAGACCUGAAACCAUGCACUUACAAGCGGUCGGAGCCUAAAUAAUAACUUAGGUGACGGCGUGCCUUUUGCAUAAUGAGCCUACGAGUUAAGCAUAAUAGCGAGGUUAAUCAGAAAUAAACUGAGGAUCCGUAGCGAAAGCGAGUCUUAAUAGGGCGAAAUAGUUAUUAUGUUUAGACGCGAAACUUAGUGAUCUACCUAUGGCCAGGCUGAAGUUCAUGUAACAGUGGAUGGAGGGCCGAACCAAUAAACGUUGAAAAGUUUUUGGAUGAGCUGUGGGUAGGGGUGAAAGGCUAAACAAACUAAGAGAUAGCUCGUACUCUUCGAAAUGCCUUUAGGGGCAGCCUCAUAGGUAAUCAAUAGAGGUAAGGCUCUGAUUGGACUAGGGGUCGCAAGACUACCGAAUCCAGACAAACUGAGAAUGCUAUUGAUUUAAACUAUGGGAGUGAGGGCAUGGGUGCUAAGGUCCAUGUCCGAGAGGGGGACAACCCAGACUAUCAGUUAAGGUCCCAAAGUUAGCAAUAAGUUGUAUAUUAACGAGGUUAAUCUGCGUAGACAGCUAGGAUGUUGGCUUGGAAGCAGCCAUCAUUCAAAGAGUGCGUAACAGCUCACUAGUCGAGCGGGUUGGCGUGGAAAAUGAGCGGGCAUUAAUUGCUACACCGAAACUAUAGUUGGCUGUAAAAUACAGUCAAGGUAGGAGAGCAUUCUAUAUACGUAGAAGGUUAAACGCGAGUUUAACUGGAGUGUAUAGAAGAGAAAAUGUAGGCAUGAGUAACGAUAAUCACGGAUAAAAUACGUGACACCGAAAGACUAAGGGUUUCUGAUCUACGUUCGACGGAUCAGAGUUAGUCGGAACCUAAGGAUACCCGGGUGACUGGCAAUCCGAUGGAUAACUGGUUAAUAUUCCAGUACCUAAUAUAUAUGAGGCGAAGGGGGGACGGAGUAGUGAAAGGUUUGCGUGCUGACGGAAUAGCACGUUAAAGGGUGUAGAUAAAUCUAUGGUAGGCAAAUCCGCCAUAGAUGUCGAACCUGAUAGUACCGAGAUCUGCGAAGAGAUCGGAUAAUGACCGUAAUCAUACUUCCAAGAAAAGCCUCUAAGCCGUUAGAGUAUAUAUUAGUCCGUACCGAAAACCGACACAGGUAGUUGGGGAGAGUAUCUUAAGGUGCGCGAGAGAAUCAUGGCUAAGGAAUUCGGCAAAUUAACCCCGUAACUUCGGGAUAAGGGGUCCCACUGUGAGGUGGGCGCAGGAAAUGGCCUGGACGACUGUUUACCAAAAACACAGGGCUAUGCAAAAUUGAAAGAUGCAGUAUAUAGCCUGACACCUGCCCGGUGCCGGAAGGUUAAAGGGAGGGGUUAUCUACCGCAAGGUAGAGAAGCUCUAAACUGAAGCCCCGGUAAACGGCGGCCGUAACUAUAACGGUCCUAAGGUAGCGAAAUUCCUUGUCGGGUAAGUUCCGACCUGCACGAAUGGUGUAACGAUCUGGGCGCUGUCUCAGCCAUGAACUCGGUGAAAUUGAAAUAGCGGUGAAGAUGCCGCUUACCUACCGCGGGACGGGAAGACCCCGUGAACCUUCACUGCAACUUAGUAUUGGGUCUGGGCAUGUGAUGUGUAGGAUAGGUGGGAGGCUAUGAAGCCGUGGCGCAAGCUUCGGUGGAGCCGACGUUGAAAUACCACCCUUCACAUGCUUGGGUUCUAAUCCACAAGAAGUGGAGACAGUGCUAGGUGGGUAGUUUGACUGGGGUGGUCGCCUCCAAAAGAGUAACGGAGGCUUCCAAAGGUACCCUCAGCACGGACGGCAAUCGUGCGUUGAGUGCAAUGGCACAAGGGUGCUUGACUGAGAGACAAACAAGUCGACCAGGGACGAAAGUCGGGCAUAGUGAUCCGGUGGUUCUGAAUGGAAGGGCCAUCGCUCAAAGGAUAAAAGGUACUCCGGGGAUAACAGGCUGAUCACUCCCAAGAGCUCAUAUCGACGGAGUGGUUUGGCACCUCGAUGUCGGCUCGUCACAUCCUGGGGCUGGAGAAGGUCCCAAGGGUUCGGCUGUUCGCCGAUUAAAGUGGCACGCGAGCUGGGUUCAGAACGUCGCGAGACAGUUCGGUCCCUAUCUGCGGUGGGCGUAGGAACCUUGAGGAGAGUCGUCCUUAGUACGAGAGGACUGGGAUGAACAUACCGCUAGUGUACCUGUUGUAGUGCCAACUGCAUAGCAGGGUAGCUAUGUAUGGAUAGGAUAAGCACUGAAAGCAUAUAAGUGCGAAGCCAACUCCAAGAUUAGGGUUCCAUAGAGGGUCGUUAGAGACGAUGACGUUGAUAGGCUGCAGGUGUAAGCAUAGUAAUGUGUUUAGCCGAGCAGUACUAAUUACCCGAUACUUCCUCGA